rnacentral:tRNA from 1 species
GACAGAUGGGCUUCGAUCCCACAACAAUAUAGUUAACAGCUACAUGCCCUAACCAACAGGCUUCUGCCUAAGAC